GAAAAAAUCCUUCUCUCACCCUACAGAUACCUGUACGGAGAACUUGGGAGGCAUUUUUAUAAGCUCAUUGUCAAGUGAAUGUUAAAGUCCCCAUUCACUGAGAAGCAAAGGGUGAAGAAGUGAGACCCUACAUGGCUUUUUAGUGCAUUGAUGGAGCAGAGACACGUCUAUGAACAACUGCCUAUGCAAACUGAUUACUCGGCAGUAUAAUUUAUCAGUUUGUAUGAGUAAGUGAGUGCUUCUCACUAUGGAUUUAGCUUGCACUUCAAUUUAGAACUAGAAGGAAUAAGUGGAAAUCAGGAGAAAUAUUAAAGACAUUCCAGUGUCACUGAGCAUGCCGAAACCUGAAAACAUGGUCGAGGAACACCAUGAGCAACUAGCCAAUGCCAUAGGUCUGCAUGAAGUCUAGUUCUGUCACCCAGGUUGGAGUGCAGUGGUGUGAUUUUGGCUCAUUGUAACUUCCGCCUCCUGGAUUCAAGCAAUUCUCCUGCCUCAGCCUCCCAAGCAGUUGGGAUUACAGGUGUCUGACACCCUGCCCAGUUCCAUUAUCUUGCUUUGGAUUUAUGGAA
rnacentral:lncRNA from 10 species